rnacentral:rRNA from 1 species
AGAGUUUGAUCAUGGCUCAGGACGAACGCUGGCGGCGUGCUUAACACAUGCAAGUCGAACGAUGAACCACUUCGGUGGGGAUUAGUGGCGAACGGGUGAGUAACACGUGGGCAAUCUGCCCUUCACUCUGGGACAAGCCCUGGAAACGGGGUCUAAUACCGGAUAACACUCCUGUCCUCCUGGACGGGGGUUAAAAGCUCCGGCGGUGAAGGAUGAGCCCGCGGCCUAUCAGCUUGUUGGUGAGGUAAUGGCUCACCAAGGCGACGACGGGUAGCCGGCCUGAGAGGGCGACCGGCCACACUGGGACUGAGACACGGCCCAGACUCCUACGGGAGGCAGCAGUGGGGAAUAUUGCACAAUGGGCGAAAGCCUGAUGCAGCGACGCCGCGUGAGGGAUGACGGCCUUCGGGUUGUAAACCUCUUUCAGCAGGGAAGAAGCGAAAGUGACGGUACCUGCAGAAGAAGCGCCGGCUAACUACGUGCCAGCAGCCGCGGUAAUACGUAGGGCGCAAGCGUUGUCCGGAAUUAUUGGGCGUAAAGAGCUCGUAGGCGGCUUGUCACGUCGGGUGUGAAAGCCCGGGGCUUAACCCCGGGUCUGCAUUCGAUACGGGCUAGCUAGAGUGUGGUAGGGGAGAUCGGAAUUCCUGGUGUAGCGGUGAAAUGCGCAGAUAUCAGGAGGAACACCGGUGGCGAAGGCGGAUCUCUGGGCCAUUACUGACGCUGAGGAGCGAAAGCGUGGGGAGCGAACAGGAUUAGAUACCCUGGUAGUCCACGCCGUAAACGGUGGGAACUAGGUGUUGGCGACAUUCCACGUCGUCGGUGCCGCAGCUAACGCAUUAAGUUCCCCGCCUGGGGAGUACGGCCGCAAGGCUAAAACUCAAAUGAAUUGACGG